ACGCGGUAGCGGGCGUGCAAUGGUCAAAACUCCGCUUUAAAUUGGCCAAAAUUCAAGGCCAUUGUUGAUUGUACCGUGCACAUGCGUAGGAGCUGGUUGGAUCUAGUGUAAUUCUUUAAGGCAGAGGUAAAAUGAGUGUUUUACCAGCAUCACCAGAGGAGUUGCUGAUUUCUAUCCGGAGCUUUGUGAAAGGAAGUCAUGCUCGGUCGGGCCACAAGUUGUCCAGUGAGGAGCAUGCUCGGUGCGCUCUGCACUUGCUGCGCACGCUGCCGGCUGCACGCACGGCCGUCCUAGAACACCUGUGUCACGUGUUUGACGAAAGCGUCAACUCCUAUCUGUUUGAGCUUGAGGGAGAAGCCAGCACUGGUCUUAAUUUGGAUGGAGUGAUACAGGAAAUCAAUGACGUCCUUUUGAACUUCAUCAACAGCAAUGCGGCAGCGUGGUCCCCCCUCAUAUCUGCAUGGUCCAUUGACCUCUUGGGACAAAUCAGCAGCACCUAUGCUGGCCGAAGAGGAGUCCCCCACCCCUCCAGCCUGAAUGAACUCCUCCAACUCUGGAUGACUUGUAAAGCUACAAGAACACUGAUGGAUGUGGCCUCGCAGUGCUUCGCAGCGAUGGUAGGGACCUGCCCGGACCUGUGUGUUGAUGCCUUACUGGACACGUCGGUGCAACACUCACCCCACUUUGACUGGGUGGUCGCUCAUAUUGGGUCGUGUUUCCCAAACACAAUCAUCACCCGCGUGCUGUGCUGUGGGCUCAAGGACUUCUGCAACAGCCAAUCGCAGGGCCUGGUGGCCCCAGACAAGAAGGUGCCCAAGAUGGCAUCGGUGGUAGGGAUUCUGGGCCACCUGGCGUCACAACAUUCCCAGGACAUCCGCAAGGCCUUGCUGGAAUUGUUCCAGGAGAGCUUGGAGAGUGACGAGGAGCAGCACCUGUUCACCGUCCCAUUCCUGCUGCAGUUGGCCACCAUGUCGCCCAUGUUACUCCGGGUCAUCACCACAGACUUUGUUCAAGCAUUGACGCCAGAUGUUCUGAAUCGGCUCUCGGAGCAGUUCCUCAAGUCUUCUCUUCUCCUGCAAGACAAGGACAGUCUGCUGACUCUGGUCAUUCACCUGAUCUGCUCCUCGGGGAGCGGCGCCUUCAAGCUGCUUCGAUUCCUGCUGGACAGGGCUUGCGAUGGGGGCCAGCAGUCGGGGGUCAACUUGCACGUUCAGAAGACCUGUGCACUGAUUCUGGAUCUCUUGGUGUUGGAUCUGCAGAGGUCUGUUUACAGCCAGUCGGACAAUCUUUCACUCGCUCAGCAGGCUGGGGCAUCCUCCGUGCCUGAGACGACCGAAAUCCCCUUCCUUACGGAACUACAGAAGCACACCAACACACUGUGCACCGACAUACUGACGGCGGGAGACCAGAGGUUACCAUGGCUACAGAGGCUGCUCGGUCUAAUUGGCGUGCACUGUGGUGAGAGUUGUGCAACGGACAUUCUAACUUGCAUUCUCAUCGAGCAGUCCGCAGUGUCCAAGGUGUGUCUAUUCACAUCCCUGCAAGCGGAGAUCGAGGCAGCCUUUCCCAACAUCCUGCCCCGGACACUGAACAAGACGAUGAACCAGUUACAGCGGCUUCAGGAGUCAGAGACCAACCAGCUUCUCGUCAACCUCACCGAGCUGCUGAAGUGGGAGACAGUCGGCAAGGGGCGGGACACGCCCAGGUCCAGCUUCCGAGCCGCCCUGUUACCCCACCUCCACCCGCUCUCCACCCAGCUGCACCAUGCCCGGCUGGCCGUGGCCACCCAGACCCUGGAGCUCCUGCACCUGAUUGGUCGGCCUGAUCCGGUCACCAUGGUGACGCUUGUGGGCGUCGCCCAGUCAACGGCUGAAUUUUUCUUCACGGCAAUGCACAUCAGUCGGGAUAAUUCCAAGAAGCAGAAAAUCUUGGAUCAGUGUCAGAGCUACCUCUCCUCUUGGUGCCAGCUCCCGAUGGGUCAGCAGCUCAUACUCAGGACAUUGCUGGAAGGCGUCACCAACAAGCAAAAUUGUUACUUGUUUGAUGGCCGGCCGCGCAUCGAGGGCGAGGGAGCCCCCUUACGCGACAAGCCGACCUCACUCCUCAGGGAGAACCAGAAGUUUGCCAAUGCCUCCUUCACGCUGCCGGCCAGCAGCUCAGCCGUCUUCCACGCUGGGACCAUUGGCCGCGGUCUGAAACCCAGAACAGAUCAGGCAGUGACCUCUAAGUUGGUCCUAGAAGUCAACAUGAAGACUGCUGUGUGGCUUGACGUGUUCGUAGUCAGUCAAACUUUGGAACUGCGUUUGAGAGGUCUGAAGUUCUUGUCCAACUUCAGUCAAAUCUGUACCUGUCCUGUCAUUAUUUCAGCUCCAGGAUUAAUGAGGAGAUUUUGGCAAACUGCCAGUAUUUUCUGGACACUCUCCACCUCUGCUGUAGUGGCCGUGACCCCUCCCCGCCCUCCCCUGUCGUCAGCCUCCAGCCGGUGGACGAGAAGGCAGCUAAGACCCUGGCCACAUUGUUGGUGGAGCUAGCCUGCCCUGACGUGACUCACACGGGGGUGGCGUGGCCCGAAGAGGAACACAUGAAGUUGACAGUUGAAAGGGAUCUGUUUGUUCGGAGACGAUUUGAAGAGAAUCCACUCUUUUGGAACUUCCUUGAAAUGAUCAGUAGAG
rnacentral:misc_RNA from 1 species